CUGCAAACAUAUUCUUCACUCAGUGCUCCACAUGCUGACUGACAUGUUUUUCCUUUUUACAUUGCGUUUAAAGAUGAAAAAUGUAAGCCACAAUUGAUCCUGUGCUUAUUUUGUUAUCCACAUAUCUGUAACUGGGCAUUUCUCUUUAAUACAGUAACACAGCUUUCUCAUUGACGUAAUCUGUCAGUUUGAAGACUUCUUUCAAAAUAAAUGACGAAUGUUUCGUUCUCUUCCUCCCAGUUAAUCGCGAUAUAUUUUUGUUCUCGUCAAACUAAAAAGCGGAACAAGAACUUGUCACUUCCUUUUAUCCUCUCAGCAGAUGAAAGGAUAAACAGAACUUCAAUAAGACUUGAAACUAGCUUUUUUGAAAACCCUCUUAUCCGAGGCUUAUCACUGACACUUUGCUUCAGUUCAGAGCCGCACACGCGCCUGUUUUUAAUUAUUUUGAAAGCUGCUGAGUGGAUCAACAGUGAGCAGACAUGGAAGCUGUAGUUGGAUUGUUUUUGAUGAUGUUUGGAGUCUGUCAUGGUGUGGAAAGUUACUGUGAUGGCAGACCAGAUGGAGCUCAUUGUUAUGGAACUUUAGGAGGAACUUUGGACAUCAAACUGAUGGACAGCACCUCAGAAAUAAUCAGAUUCCAACUGUUCAAGAAUACAUCAGUAAUAAUAAAUGGGAGAAGCAACAGUUCUAAACAUAAUACAACAGAUGGAAGACUUCUCUUUUUUGCCAGUAAUGGAACGCUUAGGAUACAUAACCUAAGGAUGACAGACAGCGGUGAAUAUACCUUUAAGGGUUUUAAUUCAAGUGGACAAAUAUCAGCUGAGCGGACUUUACAGCUUUUUAUUCAAGAAGGAGGUAUUUUGCCAGUGAUCUGUGGUGUUCUGUCAGCACUGGUGAUUUUAUUAGUUGUGGGUGUAGCUGUCAUCUGUUUUGAGAGGAGAAAAAACAAAACAAAACAAAAAGAGGAAGAUGACCAGGAAGUAACGUACGCUGAUGUUAGGGUCAGGCAGCAGCAGGAGAAGCCAGUGAAGGGAAGAGAAGAGGAAGUGGAGUAUGGCCAAGUGAAACUUUCACAGUGAUCUCAUCAGAAUGAACCAGCAUGAUGAUUGUACAGGAAGAUUGUUUGUAUGGCAAAAUCCUUAAAAUCAGCUGAUUUAGAUGGUCAGUGCUUUUAUACGGACUGCACCACUAAAUGCCCACAGAGGGAGGAAGUGAAGUGCUAAAAUCCCUAAACAAACCAUCAAAACUCACAAAUACUGAUUUUCUUUGCUUCAUCUUUAUUUUUGUAUUACAACGGCGCAUAAAUUCAUCAUUUAAAUGGAAAUAAUUCAAGUAAUAACACUGAAGUUUUGUAUGAAUUAAAGUGGAGCAACAACGCUGAGCAUGACAACCCAUCCAGAUGUUACAGUUACAGAAUAUGAGAAAGCCUUGGUUUCAUCAAUGAUUAAUACUUUUUACUCUGUAAACAAAGACACGUCACUUUUUUAUUUAAAGACAAUUCAGAUUUAUUUAUAUAGAACCAAAUCAUAACAUGUCAAAAAACCCUACAAUGAUACAGAUAUGAGCAUGGCCAAUUACUUGUUAUAGUGACAAUAAUACCAUAUUGAUAAUGUUUUGUCAUCAGUCUGGGAUCUACAUAUGUGUUCGUCAGUGUUAUGGUGUAAAAAUCUCUUUAUGCUGAAUCAAAAAUAUAGUACUGUGAAUAAUGCUUCUGUUAUGCUAAAGAUGUUUUUUCUUUUAUUUUAAUUGACUGGGUUUUCAUAUAUUUUGCUUCUCUAUAGUUACACAGUCACAACAUAUUUGUAACAUUUAUUUUUGUGCAUUUGGUGAUUUACAGAAGUUGUCAUGGUCCCUGGGUCUCGGUAUUGAAGUUUGGGAUUUUUUAUAAGUUUGGAUUUUAGGUUAUCUUUGGAUUAGGUUUCUGUUAUUUUUACUAUUUAGUUUUCUGUUCACAUAAUAGUUUAUUCCUUUGUCUGUAUAUGUUUUUUUUUCUAGCCUUUUUGUUUCUGCCAUCGGUUCUUGGCUCUACUGAUGACUUUAAAUUUAGUUAGUUCCCCUUUCCAAUGUGUUCCUCCUUCUGUCUUAUCUCUGUCCUUUUCUUUCAGUGUUUCCUCAUUUCUGUCGACAUCUCUCAUGCUGUUUUCUUGUCUGCUUCCUUUAGUUACGCUCUUGUUUAACCGUUUAAAGACAAACUGCAUCAUGUUCAGUUUUCUUAAGAGUUUCUGAGACUUCAACAUCAUCACUUUGUUUUUUUGGUUCAGGCUUAAAGAGCUCAGUUCAGUUCAUGUUCAGUUUUUCUUAAUGAGGUUUUUAGCUUUUCUUCCUGGCUUUGCUCUCACUGAUUACCUGAUUAUCAGCCCAUCUGUCUCCUUUUCUCUGACUAACUAAUACUUUGACAUGACUGAAUGAUGUAAUUACUUUGUUUCUUAUCUCUUUAGAGUCUGUUUCACUUACAUGUUUUAUCACCAUUAAUGAUUUACUCUUUUCAAAAUAAUUACACUUCUAAUAUGUCAGUUGAAUUGCCUUUUUGUCAUGAUAAAAUAACAAUAAAUAAUUAUUAAAGUUUCAGUGAGUAAUCUAUAAUUUUUAUGGUAAGCUGUGUGGAAGACAGGGGUCGGAG
ensembl:lncRNA